rnacentral:rRNA from 1 species
AGCGAACGCUGGCGGCAGGCCUAACACAUGCAAGUCGAGCGCCCCGCAAGGGGAGCGGCAGACGGGAGAGUAACACGUGGGAACGUGCCCUUUGGUUCGGAACAACACAGGGAAACUUGGGCUAAUACCGGAUAAGCCCUAACGGGGAAAGAUUUAUCGCCGAAGGAUCGGCCCGCGUCUGAUUAGCUAGUUGGUGGGGUAAUGGCCCACCAAGGCGACGAUCAGUAGCUGGUCUGAGAGGAUGAUCAGCCUCACUGGGACUGAGACACGGCCCAGACUCCUACGGGAGGCAGCAGUGGGGAAUAUUGGACAAUGGGCGCAAGCCUGAUCCAGCCAUGCCGCGUGGGUGAUGAAGGCCCUAGGGUUGUAAAGCCCUUUCGGCGGGGAAGAUAAUGACGGUACCCGCAGAAGAAGCCCCGGCUAACUUCGUGCCAGCCGCCGCCGUAACAC